UACAUAGGGGGCAAGCGUUGUUCGGAAUUACUGGGCGUAAAGGGCGCGUAGGCGGCCUUCUAAGUCGAACGUGAAAUCCCCGGGCUCAACCCGGGAACUGCGUCCGAUACUGGAAGGCUUGAAUCCGGGAGAGGGAUGCGGAAUUCCAGGUGUAGCGGUGAAAUGCGCAGAUAUCAGGAGGAACACCAAUGGCGAAGGCAGCACUCUGGGACGUGACUGACGCUGAGACGCGAAAGCGUGGGGAGCAAACAGG
rnacentral:rRNA from 1 species